rnacentral:rRNA from 1 species
GAACUUUCCAGAGAUGGAUUGGUGCCUUCGGGAACUGUGAGACAGGUGCUGCAUGGCUGUCGUCAGCUCGUGUUGUGAAAUGUUGGGUUAAGUCCCGCAACGAGCGCAACCCUUAUCCUUUGUUGCCAGCGGUCCGGCCGGGAACUCAAAGGAGACUGCCAGUGAUAAACUGGAGGAAGGUGGGGAUGACGUCAAGUCAUCAUGGCCCUUACGACCAGGGCUACACACGUGCUACAAUGGCAUAUACAAAGAGAAGCGACCUCGCGAGAGCAAGCGGACCUCAUAAAGUAUGUCGUAGUCCGGAUUGGAGUCUGCAACUCGACUCCAUGAAGUCGGAAUCGCUAGUAAUCGUGGAUCAGAAUGCCACGGUGAAUACGUUCCCGGGCCUUGUACACACCGCCCGUCACACCAUGGGAGUGGGUUGCAAAAGAAGUAGGUAGCUUAACCUUCGGGAGGGCGCUUACCACUUUGUGAUUCAUGACUGGGGUGAAGUCGUAACAAGGUAACCGUAGGGGAACCUGCGGUUGGAUCACCUCCUUACCUUAAAGAA